rnacentral:rRNA from 1 species
UACGUAGGGUGCGAGCGUUGUCCGGAAUUAUUGGGCGUAAAGGGCUCGUAGGCGGUUUGUCGCGUCGGGAGUGAAAACCAGGUGCUUAACACCUGGCUUGCUUUCGAUACGGGCAGACUAGAGGUAUUCAGGGGAGAACGGAAUUCCUGGUGUAGCGGUGAAAUGCGCAGAUAUCAGGAGGAACACCGACGGCGAAGGCAGCUUACUGGGCCGAUACUGACGCUGAGGAGCGAAAGCGUGGGGAGCGAACAGG